rnacentral:tRNA from 1 species
GCGCCCGUAGCUCAGCUGGAUAGAGCAUCUGCCUUCUAAGCAGAGGGUCGCAGGUUCGAAUCCUGCCGGGCGCGCCA